AUACACCAAAAUUCUUCCGUUGUACCUUUUCUGUUUGGAACGCUAAAAAGCACUUGCCUUUGCAUUGUGCAAACAAGAUGGAAAAGUACAUGAAGACCUUCACUGCAGCGACCAUAAUCUAUGCACUUCUCUUGUCCUCUAUGAUCAAUACACACUGCCAACUGAUGGAAGACCAAGAAAAUAUGAAGGUCAACAUACCAGGAUUAUGCAUCUAUAGAAAAGAAAGUUCUUUGUGUAAAGAGAAAUCAUAUUGUUUCUGUUGUUUAAUGAACGACAUGUGCUAUGUUUCAAUAGAUAAUUGCAAGAGUGGAUGUGUAAAGCAAGCUCCAUUGGGCACAGUGGAUUCACAGAAACCUGCCUUAUUUUCCUCUCAUGUAAUAUACGGAUGAGUAGCAUCUUGUAGCUCCGUCUAUGGUGAGAAUCCCUUGUGUUUGCUAUCGCAUGGUGUUCUCCCUUCAUGAAUAAAAUAAACAUUUCAAUUGUUGCA